rnacentral:lncRNA from 1 species
AAGCUUAAAGUAAUUGAGGAUUUUACUAGUUAAUUUGUGUCACAGUAAAUUGGAUUGUGUGUGAAGAGGCUCAACAAUCUGAAUCAUCAAACAGUGAUCUGAUGAAUUGUUUCCUUUCUCUAGACUGCUGAUCUGAUCGUCUCAAGUCUGGUGACCUGCUGCAGAAAACCCUCUCCCUCUAUCAUUAACAAGCAAUUCAGUCUGUCCUAUCACUCUCCCUCUCCCUGCUCCAUCUUUUUUGACAAGCCAUUCUAUCUUCUAUCAUUUCUCCGCCACGAGCUCUAUCUAAGUUGACAAGCUUGAACCUGAGUUGAAAAGCAAAACAAGUUUGCCUGAAACCAAGUUUGCCUGAAACCAAGUUUGCCUGAAACCAAGUUUGAGAUAAACCAAGUUUGAGAUAAACCAAGUUUGAGAUAAACCAAGUUUGAGAUAAACCAAGUUUGAGAUAAACCAAGUUUGAGAAGAAACCAAGUUUUUGGAAUUGAAGUUACCACAACUUCAUCGAUCUGUUUUCAGAAUUCGGAGAGAUCUCCGCUCUCACUGCUCCUUCUUUCCUGUCAUUAAACUUUCAUAUCCACUCAUUUUGCUGGAAAUUACAAGUAAAAAGUUGAAUAUACAGUAGUAGAAUUACAG